GUUUCUGUUGUGCAAUGGAUAUCGCGUUGGACCUCUGAUUCAAAGGUCGUGGGUUCGAAUCCCAUCUGGAAACA